GCAGAUAGGUUGCUGGUGUGCCUCGCGGUCUUCAAAACCGUUGUGGGGGGUUAAGAGCCCUCUGGGUGGGUUCGAUUCCCACCUCCU
rnacentral:tRNA from 1 species